ensembl:lncRNA
GAAAUCAAUGAAAAGACGGGCUGCAGACGAGGGUCGCCGGCAGCAUAUCCAGCACCUUCAUGGGAAUGAAGAGAAGGCACCUGCUACAGAACAUGGGGGAAGAGAAGAAAAUCGAGAUUUAUUAGUGAAGGAAGAACGCAGUAAAACAAGAGGGAUACAGAGGCAAGGGUUUGAAAGGUAAUGAUUCAAUUUUUCCAAAUCAUGGGACAGUUUCUACAUCUUUUCCAUAAGUGUCCCCUAAUCUGGUGGUCUGGUAGUCUAGUGGUAAAGAUUUGCACUCUCACUGCCACAGCCCGAGUUCAUUGCUGGGUCAGGGAACCACAUCACCCGUCUGUCAGUUGUCAUACUGUGGCAGCUGCGUGUUGCUGUGAUGCUGAAAGCUAUGCCACCAGGAUUUCAAAUACGAGCAGGGUCACCCAUGGUGGACAGAUUUCGGCAGAGCUUCCAGACUAAGACAGACUAGGAAGAAGGACCUGGCCACCCAAUCGCAAAGACAUUGGCCAUGACAACCCUGUGAAUCACAGCAGAGCAGUCUCUGAUACAGUGGCCGGAAGGUGAGAGGAUGGCGCAGAACCCUGGCAGCGUUCCGCUGUGCUAUGCACAGGGUUGCAGGAAUCAACUUGAUGGCACUAACACAGUCUGGUAGUUACAACAUGGCAUGAAAGAGUCAGCCCAGCUCAGGUGCACCACAUCUGUGGAUGAGGGCACACACGGCCGUGUGUUUUUUCCUUCCAGAGGGGAUCCUGGGAGCUGCUUUAUGUGUAUUUUGAGUUGCCUGCAGUCCUGGGAUUGCCAUUGUGUCACCCAGGAAAGCCAUUUUCAAAUUUGUUUUCUUCUCUAUUUCUUCAUCAGGCAGGGGAUUGCUUCUGCUCACAAAGCCACCCGUAACCUCUGCUGCUGGAAAGUUCUCUCAGCGAUUGAGGGCCUCAUUUCCUUCAGAAACUGGUCCCCACCCUGCCCGUCCCCCAGAUCACACACGGUCUUCGCCUCUCCCAGCCUGAAGGAUGUCCUCUCCUGGUUAAUUUCCCAGCAGCCGGCCGAGGCACAGCCUCCCGCGUUUGGACACGAGCUCAGGGCUAUCCUUGCCCAUGCCACCGUCAGCCGGCAGCCAGCUAGGCCGUCUAGUGCACAGGGCAGUGGAAAUUCAGCUGAUGAGUGGAGGAGUUCCAGUAUAAAUUUCCCCUUUCUCGCCGCAAUUUUAUAGAACUUUGCAAAGCGGCACAUCAGCACUUUUGCAAGUUGGGCUUUCUUCUGAAAAGAAUCAAGCCUGUCAAAGCUCUAAAACUUUAUGCUGUUAUUUUUAAUGGUUUGAUCAAUUACCCAGCACAUUUUGUUCCUGUAACCCUAUCCUAUACCAUGAGAAGAGAGUUAGAACUCCAGGGUUUCAGAAAGUCUGCCACGUCAGCCAGAGUUUUAUGUAACCCACCUCCUGUUCAGGGAUCCGCUUUGUACAUUUUCUCCUGCGUUCUGGGAUAUUGACCUCUUUAUUUUAUCCUGACCUCUCAUACUGUUUUUCUUUUUAGUAUAUUGGAGUAUAUUUAAGUUCUGCC